UGGACAAACGAAUGUGAAUCACAACCUUUCACUUCUCCCACUCUCUCUAUUUUCUCUCUUCUCGUCCCUCUUCUCCUCUGAUUUUUCCCAAUCUCUUCUUAUAUUCUCUUUCAAACCCUAACAAUGCUGCAGCUUCUUAUGGCCACCACACAUCCGCCGACGCCGUCUCUCUUUCUGGUGGCCAUCAAAACGCGAAGCACAGUCACUCCGCCGUGCGGGACCAAACAACAACCAUUCAGAUCCAACACGGAUAUUCAUACCUUGGUGUUUCAACUGUGAGGACACUAGCAAGCAAGUAGAGAAGCUGGGAAAGCACUACAAAGGAUCGAGUAAUCUACUAUUUUCAAGGAUAAAUGCUUCCGUAAAUGAACAUCCAAAACUGCAAGUGAAUGACUUUCCGACACUUUUACUUUACAAAGCAAGUGAUAAGAUGAAUCCGAGAUAACUUUGAUGAGCGGGAACGAGACAUGCCUCAUGCUAUCAAUGUGACAGCAGCUGAGUAGGAGGCAAUUGGAAGGUUGCUGGCACCUCCACCCAUCCCAGGACUUUUAGACAGUCAAUCCUCCAUUGUCAUGCUUAAUACGGAUGAACACGUUUACAAAAGGAUCGAGGAAUACUUUAAAUGAUUCCAGCAUACUUCAAAUGUGGCCGCCGUGCAAACUUCAAAUGUUCCUUCCGCGCAAUGUCCAAAUGUUGCUGGCGUGCAAACUCCAAAUUUCGCUGCAGGGCAACAACUACAGUCAACCAGAAUAUCCAAAAUACUGAAUUAAGCAUGUCUCAAACAAGCUCUACUAACAUGACAUCGAAGAGGGAUGCUAACGCCAUCGGAUUUGAUGAAACUUCUCCGAUUAAGUAUCUAACACCCCUGAAUUUAGUCACUAAAGUGAAACACAUGAAGAAGGCAUGACAUGGAACAUCAAAUGUGGCUUCCAACUCAUUUUGUGCAUCCUGGAUUUAUGCAGUUGACAUUACUUUUGUAAUUUUUAUUUUCAAGUUACUAAGACAUAUGUGAAAAACAUUAUUGCUUCCUUUUGCUCAUCAUUUGCUAUGCAUGAUGAAAAGCUUACACUAAGGCUGUUUGUAUUUUGAUACAUUCUCUCAAAUUAUUGACAUUUGUUAUCUGACAUUCUGUGUUCAAGAAAAAUAACAAAAUCUU